UAGGGAAUCUUCCGCAAUGGGCGAAAGCCUGACGGAGCAACGCCGCGUGAGUGAUGAAGGUCUUCGGAUCGUAAAACUCUGUUGUUAGGGAAGAACAAAUGUGUAAGUAACUAUGCACGUCUUGACGGUACCUAAUCAGAAAGCCACGGCUAACUACGUGCCAGCAGCCGCGGUAAUACGUAGGUGGCAAGCGUUAUCCGGAAUUAUUGGGCGUAAAGCGCGCGUAGGCGGUUUUUUAAGUCUGAUGUGAAAGCCCACGGCUCAACCGUGGAGGGUCAGUGGAAACUGGAAAACUUGAGUGCAGAAGAGGAAAGUGGAAUUCCAUGUGUAGCGGUGAAAUGCGCAGAGAUAUGGAGGAACACCAGUGGCGAAGGCGACUUUCUGGUCUGUAACUGACGCUGAUGUGCGAAAGCGUGGGGAUCAAACAGG
rnacentral:rRNA from 1 species